GAUGAACGCUGGCGGCGUGCCUAAUACAUGCAAGUCGAGCGAACAGAUGAGGAUCUUGCUCCUCUUACGUUAGCGGCGGACGGGUGAGUAACACGUGGAUAACCUACCUAUAAGACUGGGAUAACUUCGGGAAACCGGAGCUAAUACCGGAUAAUAUAUUGAACCGCAUGGUUCUAUAGUGAAAGACGGUUUUGCUGUCACUUAUAGAUGGAUCCGCGCCGCAUUAGCUAGUUGGUAAGGUAACGGCUUACCAAGGCAACGAUGCGUAGCCGACCUGAGAGGGUGAUCGGCCACACUGGAACUGAGACACGGUCCAGACUCCUACGGGAGGCAGCAGUAGGGAAUCUUCCGCAAUGGGCGAAAGCCUGACGGAGCAACGCCGCGUGAGUGAUGAAGGUCUUCGGAUCGUAAAACUCUGUUAUUAGGGAAGAACAAAUGUGUAAGUAACUAUGCACGUCUUGACGGUACCUAAUCAGAAAGCCACGGCUAACUACGUG
rnacentral:rRNA from 1 species